GAUGAACGCUGGCGGCGUGCUUAACACAUGCAAGUCGAACGGAAAGGCCGAAGCUUGCUUCGGUACUCGAGUGGCGAACGGGUGAGUAACACGUGGGUGAUCUGCCCUGCACUUUGGGAUAAGCCUGGGAAACUGGGUCUGAUACCAGAUAGGACCACGUCUUGGAUGGUGUGGUGGAAAGUUUUUUCGGUGUGGGAUGAGCUCGCGGCCUAUCAGCUUGUUGGUGGGGUAAUGGCCUACCAAGGCGUCGACGGGUAGCCGGCCUGAGAGGGUGUACGGCCACAUUGGGACUGAGAUACGGCCCAGACUCCUACGGGAGGCAGCAGUGGGGAAUAUUGCACAAUGGGCGCAAGCCUGAUGCAGCGACGCCGCGUGGGGGAUGACGGCCUUCGGGUUGUAAACUCCUUUCGCCAGGGACGAAGCGUCAGUGACGGUACCUGGAUAAGAAGCACCGGCUAACUACGUGCCAGCAGCCGCGGUAAUACGUAGGGUGCGAGCGUUGUCCGGAAUUACUGGGCGUAAAGAGCUCGUAGGUGGUUUGUCGCGUCGUUUGUGUAAUACCGCAGCUUAACUGCGGGGUUGCAGGCGAUACGGGCAUAACUUGAGUGCUGUAGGGGAGACUGGAAUUCCUGGUGUAGCGGUGGAAUGCGCAGAUAUCAGGAGGAACACCGAUGGCGAAGGCAGGUCUCUGGGCAGUAACUGACGCUGAGGAGCGAAAGCAUGGGUAGCGAACAGGAUUAGAUACCCUGGUAGUCCAUGCCGUAAACGGUGGGCGCUAGGUGUGAGUCCCUUCCACGGGGUUCGUGCCGUAGCUAACGCAUUAAGCGCCCCGCCUGGGGAGUACGGCCGCAAGGCUAAAACUCAAAGGAAUUGACGGGGGCCCGCACAAGCGGCGGAGCAUGUGGAUUAAUUCGAUGCAACGCGAAGAACCUUACCUGGGCUUGACAUGCACCGGAUCGCUGCAGAGAUGUAGUUUCCCUUGUGGCUGGUGUACAGGUGGUGCAUGGUUGUCGUCAGCUCGUGUCGUGAGAUGUUGGGUUAAGUCCCGCAACGAGCGCAACCCUUGUCUUAUGUUGCCAGCAUUUGGUUGGGGACUCAUGAGAGACUGCCGGGGUUAACUCGGAGGAAGGUGGGGAUGACGUCAAAUCAUCAUGCCCCUUAUGUCCAGGGCUUCACACAUGCUACAAUGGUCGGUACAACGCGCAGCUACUUCGUGAGGAGGCGCUAAUCGCUGAAAGCCGGCCUUAGUUCGGAUUGGGGUCUGCAACUCGACCCCAUGAAGUCGGAGUCGCUAGUAAUCGUAGAUCAGCAACGCUGCGGUGAAUACGUUCCCGGGCCU
rnacentral:rRNA from 1 species